GAAGACAGGAUCAAUCACUGAUGACCUCCAACAUGGCCUGGUCCCUUCUCCUCUUCACACUCCUUGCUCACUGCACAGGGUCCUGGGCCCAGUCUGUGCUGACUCAGCCGCCCUCAUUGUCGGGGUCCCUGGGCCAGAGGGUCACCAUCUCCUGCUCUGGAAGCACGAACAACAUCGGUAUUGUUGGUGCGAGCUGGUACCAACAGCUCCCAGGAAAGGCCCCUAAACUCCUCGUGGACAGUGAUGGGGAUCGACCGUCAGGGGUCCCUGACCGAUUUUCCGGCUCCAAGUCUGGCAACUCAGCCACCCUGACCAUCACUGGGCUCCAGGCUGAGGACGAGGCUGAUUAUUACUGCCAGUCCAUUGAUCCCACACUUGGUGCUCACACAGUGCUCCGGGCCUGGGGGGAAGUGAGACACAAACCUGCCAUCCCCACUGUGAUGGGGCUGUCGGUGCAGUCCUGA